rnacentral:tRNA from 1 species
GGUGGCGUAGCUCAGUCGGUAGAGCAAACGGCUCAUAUCCGUUUGGUCAGGGGUUCAAGUCCCUUCGCCACUA